GGCAUGCAACAAAGUUCAUGCAGAGUAUUAUUACUGUAGUGAAGUCCUCUUUUAUAGAGUACUUACACAUUGACUACUGUAAUAGGCAUGCAACAAGGGUCAUGUGUAUUAUUUAUUACUAUAGUGAAGUCCUCUUUUAUAGAGUACUUACACAUUGACUACUGUAAUAGGCAUGCAACAAGGGUCAUUGCCUCAAUAUAUAUUGGUGUAACCUAGAUUAGUGUAUUAAACUAUAACAUUGCAUGAAUGAAAUAUGAUCUGUAGAUCCCUUUGCAAAUAGUAAUUUAUAUUUUUAGUCGGAUUAGAAUUUGCUACUAGGAAAACUUUGCAAUCAGAUAGAUGAAACAUGCAGAAAAAGCCUCUAAAAAAAGAGCAUUCCCCAUCUCAAGCUCCUCUAAAAAAACUUUAAUAAGGAUACCCUCACCUAAACUAUAGUAAUACAUUCCUGGAAAAUAAAUUUCCAGUUCCAACAUCUACCAAGUUGUUACUAAUUUGCUUAGCAUUUCAUUGCUGAUCAAUGAAAAUGCCUCAUGCUUUUAUGAGGCUUUGGGUCAUUUAUGACUGUUUUGAUUAAGCAAGAGAUAGCAAGGGAAAGUAGCCAAACAGAUCCAAUCAAGUCCAAGCAGUCACUACAGAAAAAUUGAUUAAUUACCAUGCAAAGAAAUAUCUUGGUGGCUUGCAAAGCCAAACAACCAGUCAUUAAACUGAAGAUUGGGGAUCACCACUGNCGGUUGACCAGNGUUCAUGNUGGUUUAUGAUUCAUAACCAAUCAAUAUUUGGGAACUUGUUUACUAUGCCUAGAUUCAUUAUAUCCCUGGCAUUGAUGAUAUUGAAAGCUUAAUUAUCUCUUUAGUUUUAGGNUUCUUUANCAUUUAUGUGUAUAGUAGAAAAUAGGUUUGUAAAUAUCGGUUUUGUUUGGUAGAUUGGUAAAGUUUGACUAAGUGUGCAAAUAGAGGUCCAAAAAUCACAUUGCAUACCUGUUCCCUUCUUCUGAAAUCAGCCUCCUUGGCUUGGAGUUCCUUUUCCUUAUUUUCCUAUUAAAAAGAACAUAGUGGCAUUAGCCUUAUAAGUAUUGAAAGGAUAGGUACAGAAC
rnacentral:lncRNA from 1 species